AGCCCCUUUAAUACAGUCCUGUGAGGCUGAGAAGGAAACGGAUAUAGCGAAUUUAAGCUAUUAAUAGUUAGACAUGCAUUCGUCAACCCUCUCUCCUCUAGGUGAGAGGGUUUUUUAUC
rfam:Bacillus sporothermodurans strain B4102 NODE_37, whole genome shotgun sequence.